AUGGCGGCCACCACGGUGGCGGGUUUGGCGACGGUGGCCCAGCUGGCUUUGUACGUCCACGGGCUGGUCACGAAGAUCACCAGCGCGGCGGAGACAGCCCGGCAGAACAAGCUGGAGUGCCAGAACCUGGCGCGCCGCGUAUCCGUGAUCGGCGACCUGCUGGUGCAGCUGCAGGACCCGGGGGUGGCGCAACCGCUGGCCGGGCUGGGCGACACGCUCCAGGAGGCGCACGAUCUCGUCGUCGCUUGCCAGAAAUGGAGCGCCCGCCGGAAGUUCUUGUACGCCGACGACCAGGCUGAGAGGUUCAGGGAAGUCAACCGCAGGAUCGACUCCCACCUCAUCCUCACCCCCUUGCUCAGCCACAUCUCCAUUGCCCGCCGCCUCGAUCAAAUCAUUCCGCCGAAUCCCACCAGCGUUCUUCUACCGGUGGCACCAACAAUGGUUGCUGCAUCUGCUAUGGCGACAGGCUCCGGCUCCCGUUCGCUGCAGCUGCAGGAGCCUGCGAUGGUCCAGUACGUGAGCUCAACGUAUGUACCUGUGGAGUUCGCGUCGUCGGAGAUCGUGUUCUUGACCGGAAACUUCGGCCAUGUGCUCAGCGAGGACGGCUCCGCAACGGUGUACAAGGGUCGGCUUCACGACGGCCUGGAGGUGGCGGUCAAGAGCCUGAAGAAUCACGGGCCGCAACGCCACGAACAAGAGGGCGCGUUCGUGGCGGAGCUCGAGACCCUCUGCCACCUCCGUCACGACCACGUCGUGCCCCUCGUGGGCUGGUGCGCGGAGGACGACGACCGCAUGUUCGUCUACCAGUACCAGCACACGAGCAACGGCACGCUCAGGGACCACCUGAUGCAGGGCGGAAGCGGCGGCUCUGCGUCGCCGGUGACGUCGUCGUGGAAGGCGCGUGUCCAGGCGCUGCUGGGCGCGUCGAUGGCCGUCGACCACCUGCACCGCGCCGCCGGGCCACGGAUCAUCCACCGCAACGUCAGCUCGUCCAGCAUCCUUCUGGACGAGAGCUGGGCGGCCCGCGUGUCCGGCUUCGGCGCGGCGGUUUUGCAGGAGCCGACGACGGGCGGCCAGCUCGUCGGGGAGGUCGCCGGCUUGUUCGGGUACAUCGAUCCGGAGUACCGCCGCACGCGGCUUGUGAGUACGGCGAGCGACGUGUACAGCUUCGGCGUGGUGAUGCUGGAGGUGCUGACCGGGAGGCCGCCUAGCUGGGAGGAGGGGAAGGACCCACAGACCUUGGCCGGCUUUGCUGCCCCGAUCAUAGAGGGUGGGGACCUGGGGUCUGUGCUGGACUGCCGCCCGUCGCCGGUGCAGAUGGAGGCGCUGAAUCUCGUGGCGUACACGGCAGCACGUUGUUUGUGGCCACAGCCACAGGACCGGCCCGCCAUGUCAAACGUGGUGACCAACCUCGAGGCAGCGCUCGGGCUCAUAGACAGCAGUGAGCCUAAGCGACACUAA
rnacentral:rRNA from 1 species